AGAAACUAUGACAAUAGGAAUAUAUGAUUUGAAAUCAAAUACAAAAAUGGUAUUAAUUUUCUGCCUUCAUUGCUUGCAAACAAACACGACAACCCAUGAGAAGCAAAACAAAAUCAAAGGACCAGAACACAAAUUUAUCUGUGGCGAUUUAUGGAGCAUGUUUUGGGACCAUGUCGAGAGCACACACCACACAGCAAACACACCCGGAUAUUCGGAACAUCGCAGAUGGGAGCGAAGAAUUAAGGGGCGGUGCACAGGACAUCCUGCUUGUUGAGUUCAUAAAUAGCGAUGUUGCAUGCAACUUGAAGAGCGCCUCAGUUCAGCUCAGUUGGGUGUGGCUUUUCCUUUGACUUCAGCUUCAGCUUCAGCACUCGAGGUUCUAAUUUUUAUGAGCAUGUUGCGUGCAACUGGAGGGCAGGCAGUGCAGCAUACUUCGAGGCGCUUUCCCCCGAGCUUUUGCUGCUGCUUUCACUUUAUUGUUCUGACGUCAGCAGCAAAGGACCUAGGAAUCGCCUCGACUGCUAGUUUUGCAUUCGGCUCGUAUAUUUGUGUGAUUUAAUGCUGGCAAAGGCAGACAAAUUUAAAUUGCUUUAUGGCACAUUUCCCAUACGCCCCGUGUCCCCGUUCUAAUGCAAGCCCGGCGAACAAUAAAAAUUAGGCCACAUAAUGACGUCGCGACCUCCCCGUAGAGGACCAAAUUGAAAACAGCAAUCGGUCAGCUCUUUUUGCCGCCGUUUUGGGCUCGCUUUGGUUUGGUCUGAUUUUGGCCUGGUACGCCUGUGUGUUGCAUGUGGCAAGCAAUUCGAUCAGUUGCCAGCGGCAAGUUGCAAUCAUUUUUGGCCCCCGCCAAACAAAGCAAAGCAAAUGCAAGUCUGAUAACUGAGGGAGGGCUUUCAGCGCUGCAAACUUUGCCACAAAACUAUCAGCAACACUGCCACUUCAUUGCUGCAGUCCUUGUUUUUGUUGUUCAAGUGACGCCGAGGAAGAAGCUGCUGAAAGGGAA